rnacentral:rRNA from 1 species
GACGAACGCUGGCGGCGUGCUUAACACAUGCAAGUCGAACGGAAAGGCCCUGCUUUUGUGGGGUGCUCGAGUGGCGAACGGGUGAGUAACACGUGAGUAACCUGCCCUUGACUUUGGGAUAACUUCAGGAAACUGUGGCUAAUACCUGAUAGGAGCUCCUGCUGCAUGGUGGGGGUUGGAAAGUUUCGGCGGUUGGGGAUGGACUCGCGGCUUAUCAGCUUGUUGGUGGGGUAGUGGCUUACCAAGGCUUUGACGGGUAGCCGGCCUGAGAGGGUGACCGGCCACAUUGGGACUGAGAUACGGCGCAGACUCCUACGGGAGGCAGUAGGGGGGAAUAUUGCACAAUGGGGGGAAGCCUGAGGCAGCAACGCCGGGUGCGGGAUGAAGGCCUUCGGGUGGUAAACCGCUUUCGCCUGUGACGAAGCGUGAGUGACGGUAAUGGGUAAAGAAGCACCGGCUAACUACGUG